UGGCAGGGGGUUGGACUGGAUGGCCCAUGAGGUCUCUUCCAACUCUACUAUUCUUUUUUCAGUUUUUUUAUUUAAAUUAUUGAAAAAAAUUGAAUUUUACAUAUUCAGUACUUAAAACUUAUACAUUCUUUAACAUAUUUGCAAUACAGAGUUAUGUAUAUCAUAGCUCCUAUGGUAUUUUCACUCUCUAACUAUAUUACAUACUCAUAUUAUUUACCUUUUGUUACCCUUCACCUAGUGCUAUUCCAGCUCUACUAUUCUAUGAUUCUAUGAUUCUACUAUUUUUCACUACCUCACAAUGCCACACUGCCUUACUUUGAUUGUUUAACAAUGAUACUACACUGUCUUUAUGAAGCCACAUUCUAGGGAGAACCAUCUUUCUCAUCCCACUCUGGGAUGUUGCAGUUGAAAAAUAAGGCCACAUGAACACACACCAGGAACCAGGAUUGUGAUCAUUGUUGCUCUCAGGAUCGUAAAACAGGCAGUGGGCUGGGGGAGAGUGGAGAAGCCUAAGGAAGGAAGAGAAAAGGAGGCUGAAGCAGCUUUGUUUUCGCCUCAUAAGGCAGCAGCAGCACCGGGAGCGCACAUGCACGUGCUUUAAAGGUCGAAGUGAACACACAGAACAAACAAAGCUGAAAAAAAAUCACAAUUUAAGAGUUCUACAUACUCCCCCUCCUGUCUUAUUGGAAACAGAAUACUGCCAUCACCUCUUGAGAAAGAAAUUACUACAUCAACAAGCUGAUACAGUUCAGACAUUACCCAUGUCUUGCCUCAAGAUUCGUUCUGUCCAUAUACUUCCACAAUGUUUAUUGCUGCACAUAAAUGAUCCAGGAGAAACUGAACAACACCUGAAUACUGAAGCAAUCAUACAUAUGAAUGAGCCAAUAAAAAUCUUCACUGUUUUUUA